rnacentral:tRNA from 1 species
GCCGAAGUGGCGGAAUCGGCAGACGCGCAUGGUUCAGGGCCAUGUGGAGGCAACUCCAUGGGGGUUCAAAUCCCCCCUUCGGCACCA